rnacentral:lncRNA from 1 species
UUUCGUGAGGCUGGGGACCGCCGCGGUGAUCCUGCGAACCUGUCAGGGCAGCGUGCCCAGACCUUCCUGCGUCCCUGCCUGCCUCUUCUACUCCAAUCCCUCAGGACUCAGGCCCUGGGAAAAAUCCUGGCCUUCGUGGGGUCUCUCCGCCUUGAUUCGCAGAAUCACCCAGGAAGCUUCAACAUAAACCUUCGGUCAGGGUGCCCUUGGGGAGCCACCGGAUCGGAAAGAGGGGCUCCAGAGCUCGCUAGAACCCAGGACCCGGGCUCUUGCCUCUCCAGCCGCUCCACCCACCCUCCUGCUCGCGCCCUCGGCCCGGGCGGGGUCGUUCACGUCUCCGAGCGGGUUCCGGGAGGCCGGGCGGGGCGGACCCGGCUGGGCAGCCCCACCGGAAAGACUCGUUUCAGCCGGCGCAGGCGGAGACCGGGAGGAAACAGACUUGUCGCCCCCGCCUCGGGCCGUCCGGGUCCCCAGCCCCCAGCGCAGCCCCACCGAAGUCGGAGAAACUCCGGCCGGCAGCUGGGCAGCCCUGGAGUCACCCACUCCCACGCCCGUCGGGCUCCACACCCCCAGGCCCCCAGGCCACACCUGGGCUCCGCCUUGGGUCCCGGGGCUCUGACUCUGCAGAGCUUCAGUGGGGGAGGGGAGACCGACCCAGAAGAGGGAGGGCGCGACCCGUGCAAGGGCCUCGUUGCCUAGAAACCGACCCCGCCUUGGGCACAGGCCGCAAGCAGCCGUGGCGCAGCUGCUUCUUCCCCCUUCCCCCACGCCCUCCGGAGGAGCCCUGGUAGACGCAGUACUCAGGCGACCCCAGGCGGAGACCGGAACCUCGGACGGCUGCUUUGCCGGUGAAAGCCCGCGGGCACGCCAGCGGACGACCCCCGUCCCGCCCGCCCCGCGUGGGCCGCGGGCGCCGCGCCUCUGGGCUCCGGGUGGGGCUAUCCGGCCGGCCCAGUCACGCCACCUCCGUGGGCCGCACCUCCUAAUGGGGGCGCUCGGGCUGAGCUGAGCCUUGUGGCGGCGAGACCCAGGCCCGGGUCUGGGGGCUGCCAGAACCCGCCCGGGGUCUCUGGGGUUUGCAGCUCAGGCCAUCUGGUCAGCUGGCGCGCCCAGGGCCUCCAGUUUCGCUCCAGGGGCGUCAGGGCACGAGCGAGGCCGGCGCCUGUUCAGGCUGCGUGCGGCCCUGCUGAGCGGGGACAAAGCACGGCCUCCUCUGGGGCCUCGUCUCUGCCUUUACUGUUGGGUAAGAUCGCCCCCUUCCCCGCUACCCACACCAGCCCCACCCCCUCACUCCCCCCCCCCCCCCUUUCUGCUACAGCUCCCCUAGGGACACAGUGACGCACGAGGUCGGGCAUCCAGGCGUUUUACACGCCCUCUGUGAGAACGGAAAACUAGACAGAAAACAGCCCUUUCAGGGAAGACACGCAGGUGACCAAGAGCGCAUGUCGAAGACCAAAAGCAUGUCAGAUCUCUGCUUACUCUCUGGGAAUUUAUGCCAGGCGAGGAGGGCAGAUCGGCAAGUACGACUGUUUGGAAAAUACCCACAGUAACCAUUGGCCUUUGAGAACAAGUGCUGCUUAAUUGUCAAGCUGGGUUUAGACGGAAACAAGUCUGGAGACCAGUUAAGAGAGAAGUGCCAAGACCAAAGCCCCCAAACUGGGCAUCAGGAGACUUGAGCGUCAGAGCUGCCCGGUCCCAU